rnacentral:rRNA from 1 species
ACGGGUGAGUAACACGUGGGCAAUCUGCCCUGCACUCUGGGACAAGCCCUGGAAACGGGGUCUAAUACCGGAUAUGACCAUCUUGGGCAUCCUUGAUGGUGUAAAGCUCCGGCGGUGCAGGAUGAGCCCGCGGCCUAUCAGCUUGUUGGUGAGGUAACGGCUCACCAAGGCGACGACGGGUAGCCGGCCUGAGAGGGCGACCGGCCACACUGGGACUGAGACACGGCCCAGACUCCUACGGGAGGCAGCAGUGGGGAAUAUUGCACAAUGGGCGAAAGCCUGAUGCAGCGACGCCGCGUGAGGGAUGACGGCCUUCGGGUUGUAAACCUCUUUCAGCAGGGAAGAAGCGAAAGUGACGGUACCUGCAGAAGAAGCGCCGGCUAACUACGUGCCAGCAGCCGCGGUAAUACGUAGGGCGCGAGCGUUGUCCGGAAUUAUUGGGCGUAAAGAGCUCGUAGGCGGCUUGUCACGUCGGUUGUGAAAGCCCGGGGCUUAACCCCGGGUCUGCAGUCGAUACGGGCAGGCUAGAGUUCGGUAGGGGAGAUCGGAAUUCCUGGUGUAGCGGUGAAAUGCGCAGAUAUCAGGAGGAACACCGGUGGCGAAGGCGGAUCUCUGGGCCGAUACUGACGCUGAGGAGCGAA